GUUUGAAAGAACCGCCAAACUGUCAACAAGACGGCGGUUGCUGCAGCUAAGUUUUGUCGAUUCUGGCAGGGUUCUGUCGCUUGUCGAGCAAAAACCUGGAUUCAAAAUGUUUCACAGAACUUGACAAAUACACCCCUCACGUCUUUGAGAUUUUCAAGAGCAAGGGGGAAGUGUUGGCCAGAAACUUCAGAUGUAUCUGCAACAAGUCAGACCCCAGAGUGAAGAUAUUACCUCGAAGCGAACGGCAGUGCUCCGUGGCCUUCCUGUGAUCCUUGGAGAUGAGAAUACAGACUUCAAGACAUGGUUUGUAGGUCAUCUUUAUUACAUUUUUA